AAAACUAUUGAAAACAUCGAUGCCUUCUACAAUUACACCUACCCGGAAGUGCAGGAACAAAAACACGGAAUUACUGCUGGUCUUUUGAAGCGUUCGUUUUCGCAUUUCUGCAGCAAUUUUGAAGAGAACCUCAAUGAUUAGUUGAGCCAGGUGUAUUGCACCUGGUUGCUUCCGUUGGCCGUCAUGUUGGACGAACCAUCAACCAUAGUGCGAGUAUCGAGCGAAAAAUUAGAUGAUCCGGCCACAUUCCACUGUACCAGCACAGUGAAGCGGAUGCUUUGGAGUAGAAUAAUGUUUCGCACUGAUCUCGACUUGAGCAACAAGCAGGCACCGGACAUCAUCGAUUGCCUUGGCAAAAUUUGGACAACAAUCGGGAAGAUAUCCAUCAUUUCGUAGCACAGCGUGUUUUUGACGGAAAAGAGGGAUGUGUAUACAGGCUUGGGGCUUUUUAUGCUCCGCAAACACUGCUGUCUAUCCUGGCGAAAGCCCAGUGUGGAUCAAAAAACCUGACGAAAGGAUUAUGAAAAUAGCACUGCACACUUUACUUAUGUCCAAGCUGAAUUGUAUAUAUGCAUGUGGGACUUUUUUCGCCUCAGAAUAAGGAAUCAUCUUUUGCGAGAGAAGCAAUUCACUUUUAGCAGUACGGGAGGUUUAAGCGACAUCGCUAAGCGGCGACUACGUUUGGAGUUCGAAUCGUGCUCCAGUUUGUACGAAAAAGAUUUGAUUCAAACCGCUUUCAAAGAAUUCAAACCGUCCACAUAGCGCAGAAUGUUAUCAGGGACGAACACCUCGAUUUGAUGGAAUCCGAAGAGGAAAAUAUCGAGAAGCUCCUUCCGCGGCCUACCCUAAUUCCUUAUUUCAUUAUAGAUAAAUUUCUUCCGACAAACAGUAUCGUCCUAGGAUAUCCUAUUGGAUUGGGUUGUAGAUCAACUGAAGUUGCCGAAGAGCUGAAAGAAUAUUAUUUGCAAUUCGACGAUCAAAUUCAUAUUCCACGUGGCGGUGGAUAUUUUUAAAACAGCUAUGAAAUUGAUUUACAAUAUUGUUGUAAACCUGCAGCUGUGCCGCGGCUUUCCAAGAGGAUUUAGAGCAAACCAAUAAUAAUGGUUUGCAUAACAAAUGAACAAGAUGUAAAUUACCAAGCCACAGGAUCAAAUAUAAAUGUCUACGUCAACUGAACCUAAAAUGCGGGUUCAUAGUCGCAUAGUGACGGUAUCACAAAUUUUUUGCCAACACCAUACUCCUGAUGCUAAAUGAAAAACCAAGGAAAGAGACUUUGGAUCAAGCAUCACCAGUUGAGGGAAGAAUCAGUGAAGAGAUAAACUUUCAUGGUAAUCAUACAGGUAAGUAUGUAAAUAUAAUUUUCAAACAACGCACUUAGUAGGUAUGCACUUUGUGAUCGCAACAUCCAGAGCGAGUAAAAUGACAGGGUCCCAGCCUAAGCUGCCAAGCUGGCUGCAAGAGUUACGCAACCGUAAAAAUGUAUAGCAUUAAAGCAGUGUGUCGCCACCUCCCACUCACUCACGAAAGUCGGUAGAUUAAACAAACC